rnacentral:miRNA from 1 species
ACAUGUCGAGGCCACAUCCU